rnacentral:rRNA from 1 species
UACCGGCGCCUCAAGUGGUCAGGAUGAUUAUUGGGCCUAAAGCAUCCGUAGCCGGCUCUGUUAGCUUUCGGUUAAAUCUAUGUGCUCAACGCAUGGGCUGUCGAAAAUACUGCAGAGCUAGGGAGUGGGAGAGGUAGACGGUACUCAGUAGGAGGGGGUAAAAUCCUUUGAUCUAUUGAUGACCACCUGUGGCGAAGGCGGUCUACCAGAACACGUUCGACGGUGAGGGAUGAAAGCUGGGGGAGCAAACCGG